rnacentral:lncRNA from 1 species
CUCACACUCCACUUCCCUCCACUGUUCUAAAUGAUGGGAGCCCUCCGUCCCUGGAUUCGCUACUAUUUCUAGUCCAGCGGCUGUUACCAGUCCUGCCCAUACUCUCUGGGGUCCGAGUCCGGCUUCCCCGCUCACCCACGGUUUGCGUUUACUCCCUUUAAUGAUCCCCCCUCCCUCUCUUGGGCAAGCAGGUCACCGGCAGGGACUUGGCGGCAGGUGCGGCCUCUGCUCCCCUCCCAGAGAUAUAUGCAGAACUACGAACAAGGUACAAAAUGGGUCAGUAGUAAAAAAGGGAAAAAAGAGCUUUGACACAUCCCCGAAGUUCCUGCCGGAAGCGGACAGGACCCCAGGGGAGGAGGGAGCGAAAGGACAGACUCGGACGCGCGGGAGAAGACCCCCCCUACCCCCCACCGCUGAAGCUCGGCCUCGGAAGGAGGGAUCCGCUUCGCGGCGUGUCUCUCGGGGGGAGAAGCCACCAUCGAGGGGGACGGUGACGUUGGUUCCGAUGUCCCUGAGAUGGCGAGAUGCUGCUGCUGCUGCUGCUGCUGCUGCUGCUGCAAAUGAGGGAAAACGCAAGGACUUCCUAAGGGAUGAAAGGAGGCUCCCCGUGAAUAACUUGACCAAAAAAAGAAUGCCAUCUCAGAUGCAGAGACGGAGGGCGUGA